CUUCCACUAGUUGGAAAAGUUUAUACUAUCCCAAUUCUCAGCCACAAUCCAGGCUCAAUUAAAAGACUUACUGAAUUUUUCUUUUGUGUGCAUAUGCAUGUCUUUUGUCUUUUUAGGGCCGCACCUGAGACAUAUGGAGCAGCCCUAGAAAAGGCAAAAAACACACACACACAAAAAGAAAUGAGGAACUUAAUAAAGCUUUUAAAAGAAAAACGUAAAAAAUACAAGGGCUAAGAUUUAACACUGUUAAGAUGUCAAUGCUACCACAAAUCAUCCACAUAGUUAAUGUAACCUCGAUCAAAAUCUUAAAGGUGUUUUUUUUUUUUUUUUUUUUAAGGGCCACACCCACAGCAUAUGG